UACGUAGGGUGCGAGCGUUGUUCGGAAUUACUGGGCGUAAAGGGCGCGUAGGCGGUUUCGUAAGUCCCGUGUGAAAGCCCCCGGCUCAACUGGGGAAUUGCACGGGAAACUGCGAGGCUUGAGUUCGGGAGAGGGAAGCGGAAUUCCGGGUGUAGCGGUGAAAUGCGUAGAUAUCCGGAGGAACACCGGUGGCGAAGGCGGCUUCCUGGACCGACACUGACGCUGAGGCGCGAAAGCUAGGGGAGCAAACGGG
rnacentral:rRNA from 1 species